UCGUACAAUGCUAUGCCCAAA
rnacentral:piRNA from 1 species